UACGGAGGGUGCAAGCGUUGUCCGGAUUUAUUGGGUUUAAAGGGUGCGUAGGCGGCUAAUUAAGUCAGCGGUGAAAUUCCACAGCUCAACUGUGGAACUGCCAUUGAUACUGGUUGGCUUGAGUACAGAUGAGGUAGGCGGAAUUGACAGUGUAGCGGUGAAAUGCUUAGAUAUUGUCAAGAACACCUAUUGCGAAGGCAGCUUACUAGCUGUAACUGACGCUGAGGCACGAAAGCGUGGGGAUCAAACAGG
rnacentral:rRNA from 1 species